GACGAACGCUGGCGGCUUGCUUAACACAUGCAAGUCGAACGGAAAGGCCCUGCUUUUGUGGGGUGCUCGAGUGGCGAACGGGUGAGUAACACGUUAGUAACCUUCCCUUUACUUUGGGAUAACUUCAGGAAACUGGGGCUAAUACCGGAUAGGAGCUCCUGCUGCAUGGUUGGGGUUGGAAAGUUUCGGCGGUUGGGGAUGGACUCGCGGCUUAUCAGCUUGUUGGUGGGGUAGUGGCUUACCAAGGCUUUGACGGGUAGCCGGCCUGGGAGGGUGACCGGCCACAUUGGGACUGAGAGACGGCCCAGACUCCUACGGGAGGCAGCAGGGGGGAAUAUUGCACAAUGGGCGGAAGCCUGAUGCAGAAACGCCGCGUGCGGGAUGACGGCCUUCGGGUUGUAAACCGAUUUCGCCUGUGACGAAGCGUGAGUGACGGUAAUGGGUAAAGAAGCACCGGCUAACUACGUG
rnacentral:rRNA from 1 species